AUGCUCUCAGACGAGACGUUUUCUCAGAGACACCAGCGGCAUGAACACAGAGAGAAACUCCGCUGGAGCUCCUGGGAGAACGGCAGGAGCAGGACCAGAUCUACCAUGUUUUCUGGUUCUCUACAGCUGUGCUCAGAUCAGUCAUUGACCCACAGCAUGCUCGGAUCCUCACCUGAGUUCAGCCUGGAGGAGAGAAAGCCCCAGCUGCCGUGGGAAAGGCGCGUGUUUCCUUUAUCUCUGGAGGAAGAGGAGGCUCUGAGAUGUGAGGAAGGUGGCAGUAAAUCAGAGGACACUCUCUGGUCACACAGAGAGAGAGCAGAGCUGAGUUUCACUGAGUUCAGCAGUGAGAACAGCUUCUCCUCUUUCAGCUCUGCUGCUGCCACGCCCCCUGCUGGACACACGGAGAAGUAGCACAGCCUGCUGAGGUCACCACUGAAACCUGCUGAUGCUUCAACACUGAAGGGCAUCAGCUCACCUGUGCAGUUCUGCAGGACCAGCUGUUCCAGGAGAUUUUACACCAUCACACAAAAUCAGAAUAAUCACAUCCAAUCAUUUCUCACUGAUUGAUGAGCUUUUUACUGUCAUGUUUUUCUGCCACAGGGAGAAGCUUUUUAAAUUGUAAGAUUGUAAUAGUAAGAGCAGGGCCUCUGAAUGGGACUGUAAACUGUCAUUAUUUAUAUUAGUUACUAGUCUAUAGCUAUUUUUAUUAAAUUAAAUGAUAUUAAAUAUAUUUAUUUUUUAUAAAUCUUUUUAAGUAUACAGUGUGAUUUUUAUGAUUUUACCAACACAUACUCUACUUACACUAUCAGUUCACGUGUGAUUGUAUCUGGUGUAAUAGACAGGAACACAUGCUGAUUAUUUUUUUCUAAUGUUGGAUGUCACUGUGUUUUUAAACCUGUCCAGUAAUAAUUCAAUAAAUCUACAAAUCGCACACCUUCA
rnacentral:lncRNA from 1 species